UACGUAGGUGGCGAGCGUUGUCCGGAUUUAUUGGGCGUAAAGAGCCCGCAGGCGGCUCGGCAAGUUUCAGGUGAAAUCUCCCGGCUUAACCGGGAGGGUGCCUGGAAAACUGCCGGGCUUGAGGCAGGGAGAGGGAUGCGGAAUUCCCGGUGUAGUGGUGAAAUGCGUAGAUAUCGGGAGGAACACCAGUGGCGAAGGCGGCUCACUGGCCCGGUACUGACGCUGAGGUGCGAAAGCGUGGGGAGCAAACAGG
rnacentral:rRNA from 1 species